rnacentral:rRNA from 1 species
AACGAACGCUGGCGGCAUGCCUAACACAUGCCAGUCGAACGAGACCUUCGGGUCUAGUGGCGCACGGGUGCGUAACGCGUGGGAACCUGCCCUUAGGUUCGGAAUAACUCCCCGAAAGGGGUGCUAAUACCGGAUAAUGUCUUCGGACCAAAGAUUUAUCGCCUUUGGAUGGGCCCGCGUUGGAUUAGCUAGUUGGUAGGGUAAAAGCCUACCAAGGCGACGAUGCAGAGCUGGUCGGAGAGGAUGAUCAUGCACACUGGGACUGAGACACGGCCCAGACUGCUACGGGAGGGAGCAGUGGGGAAUAUUGGACGAUGGGCGAAAGCCUGAUCCAGCAAUGCCGCGUGAGUGAUGAAGGCCUUAGGGUUGUAAAGCUCUUUUACACGGGAUGAUAAUGACAGUACCGGGAGAAUAAGCUCCGGCUAACUACGUG